rnacentral:rRNA from 1 species
CAAUAGCGUAUAUUAAAGUUGUUGCAGUUAAAAAGCUCGUAGUUGGAUUUGUGGCUGUCACGGGCGGCCUAUCACUUAGUGUUAGUGCUCGCCUGUGUCGCCAUCCUUGGGUGGAGCCCGUGUGGCAUUAGGUUGUCGUGCGGGGGAUGCCCAUCGUUUACUGUGAGAAAAUUAGAGUGUUCAAAGCAGGCUUAUGCCGUUGAAUAUGUUAGCAUGGAAUAAUAAGAUAGGACCUCGGUACUAUUUUGUUGGUUUGCGCACCGAGGUAAUGAUUAAUAGGGACAGUUGAGGGUAUUCGUAUUUCAUUGUCAGAGGUGAAAUUCGUGGAUUUCUGAAAGACGAACUACUGCGAAAGCAUUUACCAAGGAUGUUUUCAUUAA